CCAGAGGGGCAACUUGCAUCCUUUCUACUCAUAUGCUUACUGAGUUUUCAAUUAUCACCUUAAUGUCAUCAGGUAACUGAUAUUCAAAUCCUGAAAAUUGCAUAAAUGGACAGAGUAGGAACCAAGGUUGUCAUUAAAAUCUGAAUGAUUCCCAAUAAACAACACUCUUGUGUCGGAAUUUCACAUGUGCUACCCUUAUCCGCCAGUAUAAUGUCCAGAGCCAUUUUGUUCUGUAAGGCUACUUUGUGAAUGGCAUAUAAUUCUUCAUUAAUUGCGGAUAGGGCUUCUAUAGUAUCAUUGGCAAUCUUAUCCAUAACAGAAGGUAACUCUGUAUCCGUUAAGAAAUGUUGGGUCGGAGCGGCAUAACAACUCCCUUCCCUGUUUGAGGGCAAACAUGGGUAUGCAUGUUUCCCGCAAACAAAUAUAGUCCCAUUCAUGCCCAUCUUGACAUCCAACAUCUGGUUGUGGUCUGGCAGUGGGAGGACGUCUGAUAUGAAAACCAUCAUUGUCAGGAUCACGGUUGUCAUCCACUCUGUGCAUCCUGGGGUCACUCCCAUGUCGCUAUGAUCACUGCUGGUGUCGUCGUCAAACGGCUGUUUGGGGGUUGUGGUCACGGACAGUAGUUUCUGAAAUGACAAACAAAAAAGAGCGGCAGUAUACUAAUGCUCACAGAAAAUUGGAAAAA